rnacentral:rRNA from 1 species
GUGGGGAAUUUUGGACAAUGGGCGCAAGCCUGAUCCAGCAAUGCCGCGUGCAGGAUGAAGGCCUUCGGGUUGUAAACUGCUUUUGUACGGAACGAAAAGCCCUGGGUUAAUACCCUGGGGUCAUGACGGUACCGUAAGAAUAAGCACCGGCUAACUACGUGCCAGCAGCCGCGGUAAUACGUAGGGUGCAAGCGUUAAUCGGAAUUACUGGGCGUAAAGCGUGCGCAGGCGGUUUUGUAAGACAGGCGUGAAAUCCCCGGGCUCAACCUGGGAAUUGCGCUUGUGACUGCAAGGCUGGAGUGCGGCAGAGGGGGAUGGAAUUCCGCGUGUAGCAGUGAAAUGCGUAGAUAUGCGGAGGAACACCGAUGGCGAAGGCAAUCCCCUGGGCCUGCACUGACGCUCAUGCACGAAAGCGUGGGGAGCAAACAGGAUUAGAAACCCCGGUAGUCC